rnacentral:piRNA from 1 species
UUACCCAAUAUAAUGAACAAUUUCAGGGACCC